GCUUAAUUCAGCUGUUAACCACUUAUUUGUUGCCGUAUAACUGUGGAAUAAAUGUUUCAUUAUUAUUCCAUUUUUGGUAACCUAAACCUUUUUACCAUUUCUCCAGUAUUUUUUUUACCACUUACCUUUGUACCAUUUCAGGUUAUUCACUGGACGUGAACUGCUUUAAUUUCAAUAAAAACUGGAUAAAUAGAUUGCGAUUAUGGACAUUGCAGAGGACAUCUAUACCAACAUAGAGGAAGUCAGUUUUAAAGGCUGUGAUGAUCUGACUGCAGGUUACGCAACUUUACACAUGGGUCUGCAGGAUGGAACUAACCAUAAAAAACACAAUCAACUGUCCAGACUCCAGAUCUCAUACAACAACCUGACUGAGCAGGAACAAAAGUACCAGAACACCGUUUCAGAACAAGAGAACAAAAUAUCAGAAAUGCAGAUCUUGUUCAACAACCUGACUGAUGAGAAUCAUAAGUUACAGAACAAAAUAUCACAAAAGGGUAAGUUUAAAUCCAAAUCUUGUAAUAAAAAAAAAUUCAUAUACAGUGGCCCUCAUUAAUGAAACGUGCGUUCUAUCAGAGAUGGGCAAAGAUGCAUCAACAUUUAUUUUAAAAUAAGCUACCAAGUACCUUAAUUUUAAGAGUAUCAAAAUAAACUACUGUAUUUUUUGUAUUUUAAAAACAAAAAAAAACUUUUAUAAGGGAGUAUGAAAUCACUUCGCAAACCUUCCAUCUAUUGGUCUAUUUGAUCUAUCCCUUCAUCAGAACACUGACUCAGUUGAUUAAGUAACCAACAGUUUUAUGAUUAACUAACAGUUUGCUAAUUACUCAUAAUUGUAUCCUAAUUUACAGCUCUGGAAAAAAUUAAGAGACCGCUCCUAAUUCUUAAGCAUCUCUACAUGUAUGGCAGCCCUUUCAUUCCAGUGUCUGUUAUAUUCCAACACAGGCACACUUCAUUUUAUUUAAUGAGGUAGUGAUUAGGUGAUUACCUGAACCAAAUCUAAUUUAACGAGGAAAAGUAUAAAAUCCACUGCUGUGGUCAUCACUAUCCUCUUGCAAUAGGACCUGUUGGAUGACGAAAAUAGUGCAAGUAGUACCUAAUUUGAAUAAAGAAAUAACUAUUCAGCAUGACAAAAGAGUUGAAAAGAAAAGUUUUGAGUGAGGAAAAGAAGGGUUAAAUUCUGGCUUUACUGGUAGAGGCAUACAGUGAGCGUCAGGCUGCUUCCAUUCUGAAAAUUUCAAAGACAGCAGUUCAUAAGAACAAGGUCAAGCAACAGACAUUAGGGACAACAAAGCUACAGACUGUCAGAGGGCCA
rnacentral:lncRNA from 1 species